GACGAACGCUGGCGGCGUGCCUAAUACAUGCAAGUAGAACCGCUGAAGGAGGAGCUUGCUUCUCUGGAUGAGUUGCGAACGGGUGAGUAACGCGUAGGUAACCUGCCUGGUAGCGGGGGAUAACUAUUGGAAACGAUAGCUAAUACCGCAUAAGAGUAGAUGUUGCAUGACAUUUGCUUAAAAGGUGCAAUUGCAUCACUACCAGAUGGACCUGCGUUGUAUUAGCUAGUUGGUGAGGUAACGGCUCACCAAGGCGACGAUACAUAGCCGACCUGAGAGGGUGAUCGGCCACACUGGGACUGAGACACGGCCCAGACUCCUACGGGAGGCAGCAGUAGGGAAUCUUCGGCAAUGGACGGAAGUCUGACCGAGCAACGCCGCGUGAGUGAAGAAGGUUUUCGGAUCGUAAAGC
rnacentral:rRNA from 1 species